UGCGUAGGCGGUUUGAUAAGUCUAAGGUGAAAGUUCGGAGCUUAACUCCGGAUUGCCUUAGAAACUGUCAGACUAGAGUGCAGGAGAGGGCAAUGGAAUUCCAUGUGUAGCGGUAAAAUGCGUAGAUAUAUGGAGGAACACCAGUGGCGAAGGCGGUUGCCUGGCCUGUAACUGACGCUGAAGCACGAAAGCGUGGGGAGCAAAUA
rnacentral:rRNA from 1 species